CCCCUAGAUGUUCUGGGCCGCACGCGCUCUACACUGAACAGUUCAACAAGUCUUAACCUUGGCCGAUAGGUCUGGGUAAUCUUUGAACGCUGUUCGUGAUUGGGAUAGACCUUUGCAAUUAUGGGUCUUCAACGAGGAAUUCCUAGUAAACGCAAGUCAUCAGCUUGCAUUGAUUACGUCCCUGCCCUUUGUACACACCGCCCGUCGCACCUACCGAUUGAAUGGUCCGGUGAAAUCUCGGGACGGCGGCUUGGUCGCUUGCGUCCGACUGCUGAAACUUGAUUAAACCAUAUCAUUUAGAGGAAGGUGAAGUCGUAACA
rnacentral:rRNA from 1 species